ACACACAGCUCAGUCCCUGCUGUGAGCACUAUCUCUGCAUUUACAGCACAUCCAGCACAACGUACUGCACACAAGAUUAAAGAAAAGCUCUCCCAGAAACGACUGCAGAGCCACUGGGGAGCAGGACCCAGGCUGAAGGGCCAACUAAAGCAACCAGAAUAAAAAUAGCUGUAAUAACUACAGAGCAAUUUAUUAAAAAAACAAGAUGGAAUUAUUCCUUUUCCCUUCAUGUUGGCUAUGGGGAAAAGGGAGAAAGUCAAAGUGACAGAGGAAAAAUGUCUAAUUGCCUCCAACCUCAGCUUGAACUCCAAAGGAACAUUUUAAAAAGCAAGCUUCAACAGAGGUCUUUUCCCAGAUACGCUUUCUCUUUUUUUUUUUUUCUGUGAUUGAGGCCACCCUGCUACCUUGUUACCACUUCAGAGCAGAAUUUAAUUUCUCCACCAGGUCCUGUAAACACCUCCUGGAAGGCCACUCCAAUUAUGAUGGGCCAUUGCUUAUCCAGGUCAGGUAUUCACAGCUGUGGCUCCCAAGGGCUGCAUCCCUGCAGGUCUGUGCUUAGGCAGAGGCCCACAACCCAAAUCCAUGGCACAGAAAGGAAAAGGACUCUAGGGAAUGAUGAAGGAGAAAGCAAACACAAUGAUGAGGCAGAGGAAGAGGGAGAUGAAGAAGGCAGCAGUGCGCCAGCGGGACAGCCGGGACAGCCCCGAGGACUUGACAAUCCUCCUCUCCACGCAGUGCUCAUGGUUCUCCUGAGCUUUCACAUCCUCUGUCUUCAGAGGGUGGAUCUCAGCUUCUGAGUCCUUGUUAUCCAUCACAGCUCACUCAUGGGUGUUCACACACCCUUCUCCCCCUUCACCUGCAACAAUGGAAAAA